AUGUCUAAUAUCUGAAUUAGUGGCGGACGGGUGAGUAACGCGUGAGCAACCUGCCUUACAGAGGGGGAUAACAUUCGGAAACGAAUGCUAAUACCGCAUAAUAUACAUUUACGGCAUCGUAGAUAUAUCAAAGGAGCAAUCCGCUGUAAGAUGGGCUCGCGUCCGAUUAGAUAGUGGGUGAGGUAAAGGCUCACCAAGUCUGCGAUCGGUAGCCGGACUGAGAGGUUGAACGGCCACAUUGGGACUGAGACACGGCCCAGACUCCUACGGGAGGCAGCAGUGGGGAAUAUUGCACAAUGGGCGAAAGCCUGAUGCAGCAACGCCGCGUGAGGGAAGACGGUCUUCGGAUUGUAAACCUUUAACUUUGGAGAAGAAAGAAACGACGGUAUCCAAAGGAGCAGCCACGGCUAACUUACGUGCCAGCAGCCGCGGUAAUACGUAGGUGGCAAGCGUUGUCCGGAAUUACUGGGUGUAAAGGGAGCGCAGGCGGGGAGGCAAGUCAGCUGUGAAAUGCAUAGGCUUAACCUAUGAAUUGCAGUUGAAACUGUUUUUCUUGAGUGGAGUAGAGGUAGACGGAAUUCCGAGUGUAGCGGUGAAAUGCGUAGAUAUUCGGAGGAACACCAGUGGCGAAGGCGGUCUACUGGGCUCUAACUGACGCUGAGGCUCGAAAGUGUGGGGAGCAAACAGGAUUAGAUACCCUGGUAGUCCACACUGUAAACGAUGAUUGCUAGGUGUGGGGGGUCUGACCCCCUCCGUGCCGGAGUUAACGCAAUAAGCAAUCCACCUGGGGAGUACGACCGCAAGGUUGAAACUUAAAGGAAUUGACGGGGACCCGCACAAGCAGUGGAUUAUGUGGUUUAAUUUGAAGCAACGCGAAGAACCUUACCAGGUCUUGACAUCCAACUAACGAAUCAGAGAUGAAUUAGGUGCCCUUCGGGGAAAGUUGAGACAGGUGGUGCAUGGUUGUCGUCAGCUCGUGUCGUGAGAUGUUGGGUUAAGUCCCGCAACGAGCGCAACCCCUGCCAUUAGUUGCUACGCAAGAGCACUCUAAUGGGACCGCUACCGACAAGGUGGAGGAAGGUGGGGAGGACGUCAAAUCAUCAUGCCCCUUAUGACCUGGGCUACACACGUAAUACAAUGGGCGUUACAACGGGCAGCCACACCGCGAGGUGGAGGGAAUCCCCAAAGGCGUCCUCAGUUCGGAUUGCAGGCUGCAACUCGCCUGCAUGAAGCCGGAAUUGCUAGUAAUGGCAGGUCAGCAUACUGCCGUGAAUAAAAUCCCGGGCCUUGUACUCACCGCCCGUC
rnacentral:rRNA from 1 species